rnacentral:rRNA from 1 species
GAUGAACGCUGGCGGCGUGCCUAAUACAUGCAAGUCGAGCGAACAGAUGAGGAGCUUGCUCCUCUGACGUUAGCGGCGGACGGGUGAGUAACACGUGGAUAACCUACCUAUAAGACUGGGAUAACUUCGGGAAACCGGAGCUAAUACCGGAUAAUAUAUUGAACCGCAUGGUUCAAUAGUGAAAGACGGUUUUGCUGUCCCUUAUAGAUGGAUCCGCGCCGCAUUAGCUAGUUGGUAAGGUAACGGCUUACCAAGGCAACGAUGCGUAGCCGACCUGAGAGGGGGACAGGCCACCUUGGAACUGGGACACGGCCCAGACUCCUACGGGGGGCAGCAGUAGGGAAUCUUCCGCAAUGGGCGAAAGCCUGACGGGGCAACGCCGCGUGGGUGAUGAAGGUCUUCGGAUCGUAAAACUCGGUUAUUAGGGAAGAACAAAUGUGUAAGUAACUAUGCACGUCUUGACGGUACCUAAUCAGAAAGCCACGGCUAACUACGUG